CAGAAAGUUGAAGUGAAAUCACUGCGUGAUAAUAACAAUGCAAGCCUCAAAAAACAAAGAAAGAAAUCGCUUAAAGGAGCUGCAAAUGGAAACUAUGAAUCAGAGACUAUAAAAAAAAACUACAAAUGUGAAGAUCUUCAUAUGAUGCUUCCGUUAAGAAUCCUAAAGCAAGUGUUUAUUCCAGUGAAAGAAAUUCUCACAUAUCAAUAAAAAUCCUUCUAUAAUUCGACCUUGAAAGACUACAGAAUCUCUUGGUUAAGGAUCGAACUUGAUUUCUGUAGAAUCUAAUACUAUGAUUUCCAGAUUCGAUCAGAUUAUCGAAAACUCAGAACUUAAAUCAAAUGCAGAGCUUAAACCCCCUCGAGAUCUACCAAUCAAGCAGGGACAACAACAACAAGAUGAGAAAUCGAUCAGCUAUAAUGUAGAGAGCAAGAAAAUAGAGAAAAAAUCGAGCAGAUCAGAUAGAAUCCAAUACCUCCCGAGUCUGAGUCUGAGAGUC